ACAAGCAAUCUUUUCUGAUACUAUAUAUCAUUUUGUAAUAGAUCAAUAUUUUAUUUCAUAGCAAUAGUUACAUAGAGAUGCUUCUUGUAUAUGUUAGCACUAUGCAUGUUAGAUUUUCUUUAAUAAUUCUAAUUUUAAGUAAUAUUUCCCUGCACUCUUAAAUGGGUCAUUAAGCCUGGUAUUAGCCAAUACUACUUAAAUAGCUUAAUAAGUUUUGCCUAAUAUAAAUCUUAUAAUUAGAGAAUAUGGUUUUUUUUCAAUAAUUAAAAAAGGAUACACUAAAGACCUCCUUAUAAUCACAUCAGUUUUUAUAGGUCCUUUUGGAGCCACAAAUCCCUCAGCGCUAAUUGAAUGUAAUGAAGUGGGUAUAGGCUUAAUUAAUAUUUUUGAAUUAUAUGGUGUUGACAUAUCUGUUUUUGGGUCUGCAUUUUUCAUCACAGAAUCUUCUUUAAAAAAGGAAAAGUUAGACAUUCCUUUAUUAGCACCCAGAUCUGAUUUCGAUUUCAACAGCUCUAAACAUUUCAUCAUCAUUUCUGUUAGCCAUGAACCCCCUUCAUUGUAACAAGUUAUUUUUUAAUGUCCGUGCCUAGUUUUGCACGUGAGAUUGAAUGACACAGUAUUCAUUUAAGAAUGGCUUCCAAUACUUAUGCCAUUAGUACAUAUAGGUUCAAUUUUUAACUUGUUGAGUGUGGAAUUGGAUUUGAUUACACUUCACAUUGCUUCUGACCUAGUUAUUCUGAUUCUAGGUUGAUAUGCUGAAAAAAUAUUAUUAUAUAUCAAGAAUGUGACAAUUUAAAAAAUUUUACUGAUAUAAACAUUUUAAAUUUCACCUAAGCCAAUUUUAAUGUAGUUUUUAUAUAUUAUGACUUCUCUUGUAAUAUUUUUUGUCCUUGCAACAAUCUGUACUUCUAUAUCUGUCAAGUAAUUAUUUGUCCUCCUUUCUUUCAAAAACAUGUAAGAUUCUUCAUACUCUCUAAUAACUCUGUGUUUAAUAUUUGCAUGGAUAUGCUUAGCUACAAGCAUUAGAUGUGUUAUUUGUUUCUUCUCUAUUUCCUACAUCAUGGGCUUGAACAAGUAGAAAGAAUAAAGAAAGGCUUAGAGUAGAUUUCUAUUAUCCCAUCAAUAAAACUAAACCAUGAUCAUUUUUUUUUGUAUCUGGUUAAAUCAAGACAUUGUAGCAAUAUUCUGCAUGUGUUAUGUAUCACUUUAAAUGCCUACACAAAUUAAAUUAUAUAUUAAUAUCUUGCUUUCAACACACAAUGAGGCAAAUGCUAUUAUUGUCUACCUAUUAGACGUAAGGAAACAGGCAGAAAAUGCUUGCAUGACUUUCUGAAGACCAUUCUCUUGAACUUGUGCUCUGAAUCACCACCCUGUAAUAAGUUAACUUCAAGACAUCUAACCAUUAAUAAUAAUUCCCUGAAAGUGUAUUUCCCAGAUUUUGCUAAUUUACUGUUCCCAACUUAAUUGCUUAGGAUAUUGGUUGUUGCAAAUUUGUCAUUUCUCAUUUCUCACUGUUGCUUCUUUCAUAUGUAAAAAAUAAAUAUAUUUCAAAUCUGACCCAAAGUGAAUUAUUCCACCUAAAUUAAAUGCUACUCAGAUAACUUCACAGUAGUACUUUAAAUGAUAUAAUACUAGCUAUCAAUUUAUGUGUUGAAUAUUAAAAAUUUCGCUGGAGUAAAAUAGUUCCAACAAAGCUUCUCCAUUUUAAUUAUAAAACAUUUUUUAUUAACAUUAAACUGUCUAGAUGUCAGAAGUCUCUGUGAAAACAAAUCCACAGAUUCUACUGUAUUAUACACCAAGUGAAUUAAGGUAAAGGAAUGUGACAAUUUGUGCCUAGAAAAUUCAGUGUUUCUAUUUGAUUCACUCAUUCAUGUUUCAACUAACACCUUAGAAGUCUACUUACCUAGUUUCAUCUAAUAAACCUAUUUCUCUAGGGCCUAUGUAAAUUUUAACACUGGACCGUCAUAUGGACCUGGAUCCUUGAUUUCCUUUACCUGACUUGGUGAAUACGUGUAAUCGGCUGCUAUAAGUUCCUGUGGAAAAGGUCAGCUCAGAGAUGAUCAUUUAAUAGACACCUACAUAUGAAGAGCAUGAACGGGGGAGGGGCAGAGAGAGAAGGAGACACAGAAUCGGAAGCAG